UUUAAAUGGCCGCAGUAUAUUAACUGUGCAAAGGUAGCAUAAUCAUUAGUCUUUUAAUUGGAGGCUGGUAUGAAUGGUUGGACGAGAUAUUAACUGUUUCAUAAUAAUUUAUAAUAAAAUUUUAUUUUUUAGUCAAAAAGCUAAAAUUUAUUUAAAAGACGAGAAGACCCUAUAAAUCUUUAUAUUUAAAUUAUUAUAAUUUUAUAGUUUAUUUCUGUUAUAAUAAUUAAUAAUAUUUUAUUGGGGUGAUAUUAAAAUUUAAUUAACUUUUAAUUAUUUAAAUUCAUUAAUUUAUGAUUUAUUGAUCCAUUAUUAGUGAUUAAAAAUUUAAGUUACUUUAGGGAUAACAGCGUAAUUUUUUUAGAGAGUUCAUAUCGAAAAAAAAGAUUGCGACCUCGAUGUUGGAUUAAGAUAU
rnacentral:rRNA from 1 species